GCCCCAAUAGCCGAGUGGAUAAGGCGUCGCCCUCCUAAGGCGAAGAUCCCGGGUUCGACCCCCGGUUGGGGUU